UACGUAGGAGGCAAGCGUUGUCCGGAAUCACUGGGCGUAAAGCGCGUGUAGGUGGAGCAGGAAGUCUGCUGUGAAAGCGCCUGGCUUAACCGGGCGAGGUCGGUGGAAACUCCUGGUCUAGAGGCCGGUAGAGGGGGGUGGAAUUCCGGGUGUAGUGGUGAAAUGCGUAGAGAUCCGGAGGAACACCCGUGGUGUAGACAGCUUACUGGACCACUUCUGACGCUGAGACACGAAAGCGUGGGUAGCAAACAGG
rnacentral:rRNA from 1 species